AGCCGGAGGGAAACCGAGUCUUAAUUGGGCGUUAAGUUGCAGGGUAUAGACCCGAAACCCGGUGAUCUAGCCAUGGGCAGGUUGAAGGUUGGGUAACACUAACUGGAGGACCGAACCGACUAAUGUUGAAAAAUUAGCGGAUGACCUGUGGCUGGGGGUGAAAGGCCAAUCAAACCGGGAGAUAGCUGGUUCUCCCCGAAAGCUAUUUAGGUAGCGCCUCGUGAAUUCAUCUCCGGGGGUAGAGCACUGUUUCGGCUAGGGGGCCAUCCCGGCUUACCAACCCGAUGCAAACUGCGAAUACCGGAGAAUGUUAUCACGGGAGACACACGGCGGGUGCUAACGUCCGUCGUGAAGAGGGAAACAACCCAGACCGCCAGCUAAGGUCCCAAAGUCAUGGUUAAGUGGGAAACGAUGUGGGAAGGCCCAGACAGCCAGGAUGUUGGCUUAGAAGCAGCCAUCAUUUAAAGAAAGCGUAAUAGCUCACUGGUCGAGUCGGCCUGCGCGGAAGAUGUAACGGGGCUAAACCAUGCACCGAAGCUGCGGCAGCGACACUGUGUGUUGUUGGGUAGGGGAGCGUUCUGUAAGCCUGUGAAGGUGUGUCGUGAGGCAUGCUGGAGGUAUCAGAAGUGCGAAUGCUGACAUAAGUAACGAUAAAGCGGGUGAAAAGCCCGCUCGCCGGAAGACCAAGGGUUCCUGUCCAACGUUAAUCGGGGCAGGGUGAGUCGACCCCUAAGGCGAGGCCGAAAGGCGUAGUCGAUGGGAAACGGGUUAAUAUUCCCGUACUUGGUGUUACUGCGAAGGGGGGACGGAGAAGGCUAUGUUGGCCGGGCGACGGUUGUCCCGGUUUAAGCGUGUAGGUGUGUGUUCCAGGUAAAUCCGGUUCACUUUAACACUGAGGCGUGACGACGAGGCACUACGGUGCUGAAGCAACAAAUGCCCUGCUUCCAGGAAAAGCCUCUAAGCAUCAGGUAACAUCAAAUCGUACCCCAAACCGACACAGGUGGUCAGGUAGAGAAUACCAAGGCGCUUGAGAGAACUCGGGUGAAGGAACUAGGCAAAAUGGUGCCGUAACUUCGGGAGAAGGCACGCUGACACGUAGGUGAAGUGAUUUACUCAUGGAGCUGAAGUCAGUCGAAGAUACCAGCUGGCUGCAACUGUUUAUUAAAAACACAGCACUGUGCAAACACGAAAGUGGACGUAUACGGUGUGACGCCUGCCCGGUGCCGGAAGGUUAAUUGAUGGGGUCAGCGCAAGCGAAGCUCCUGAUCGAAGCCCCGGUAAACGGCGGCCGUAACUAUAACGGUCCUAAGGUAGCGAAAUUCCUUGUCGGGUAAGUUCCGACCUGCACGAAUGGCGUAAUGAUGGCCAGGCUGUCUCCACCCGAGACUCAGUGAAAUUGAACUCGCUGUGAAGAUGCAGUGUACCCGCGGCAAGACGGAAAGACCCCGUGAACCUUUACUAUAGCUUGACACUGAACAUUGAGCCUUGAUGUGUAGGAUAGGUGGGAGGCUUUGAAGUGUGGACGCCAGUCUGCAUGGAGCCGACCUUGAAAUACCACCCUUUAAUGUUUGAUGUUCUAACGUGGACCCGUUACCCGGGUUGCGGACAGUGUCUGGUGGGUAGUUUGACUGGGGCGGUCUCCUCCUAAAGAGUAACGGAGGAGCACGAAGGUUGGCUAAUCCUGGUCGGACAUCAGG
rnacentral:rRNA from 1 species